rnacentral:lncRNA from 1 species
ACUUUCUUUUGGUAUUUUCAUUUUAAUAGAGAAAUAAAAUGCUAACACAAGCAAACAUCAAUGAAUUAAAAAGACAUGAACACAUAUAUAACUAUCUAGCAUUUAACAGAGGAAGGAGACUGAAUUAUGUGACAGGAAAUAGAUGAUUCACAGCACAAACACACACAUACUAUAUAUAUAUAUAUCACAUGAACUUGAUCUAACACUUGGAUUAUAAAAUGGAACAAGUUCACAAGAUUGAACACAAACACAAGCUUGCAGAUUACUAACUCACAAAGCAAAAUCACAUAGACCAAACAUUAUACAUAGCAACUAGGCCUAACAUUUCAGAGAACACAAGAUGUAACAUGAUAUUACAAGUAUGAAACUGAACCAAAUCUGAAUAUUACAUAAUUCUGAACAUCACACUUCUCAAGUUUACAGAAAUUUGGGAGAGAGGGAGAGAGAUAACAGCAGCAACUAGUUGAAGGAAAAGAAGAGCUUCAGGUUAGGAGCAGCAGCAACAACGGUUUGGAGAGGGAGCAUCAGCAGGUCAAGGAAGAAGGAGCAACAGCAGAUCGUGGGAAAAGGAGCAACAACAGAGACGAGUGGAGAGGGAGCAGUAGCAGAUACGAGGGGAGAGGGAGCAGAAACUGAUACGAGGGGAGAAGGAUCAGCAGCAGAUCCAACAGGGACGUGGGGAGAGGGAGCAACAAGGGGGCGCUGGAGAGAGGAGCAGCAGUAGGGGAUGGGGAUCAGAGGACGGCGCUGGUGUGGAUGGUGGUGCUGGAGUGGAUGGACGGUUGGGUGGCGCCGGUGGCACGAUGGACGGAUGCAUGGAGAUGGUGGUACAGGGUGGUGUUGUUGGCGCACCUACCACGCCGGCAUGGCCGUGGUGGCGACUGGAGGUGGAGAAGGAGGGGUCAGGGAAGAAGAAGAUGGAGGUACUAGGCCCGAAGGGGAUCGAAGGCUUCUCUAGGGAUUUUGACCCCUCACGACUGAUUUCCUCCUUUGCAAUUUGGUCCCUCUACUUUUCUUCUUUCUGCACAAGUUGAUCCUCCCCUUGUUUAGUUUGACCCCUCN